rnacentral:lncRNA from 1 species
UGACAAAUCUAAACUGCACUUCUGAAGACUAUGUGUAUGGACUGGCAGCCACCAUGCUGUGAGGAGAUUUUCCCUGGACUGAACAGUGACAUGAUCCAUGAGUGGCUAAGCAAGGCUAAAGCCUUAGCAAGUCUAACUGCUGAGAUUUACCAUUUGAGUGGCCAUAUUCUGGUGAUGAUAGAUGUGACUAAGUGUCCAUUUCCGAGGAAAAUGCAGAGUUGUCCCAAGUGAACUGAGAUCCUCGAUCUGAAAAUGACACAGCUGGAGACACUGUGCUUGCUGAAAGGUUUUCCUGCAUUCUCUGCAAUGGUCAGUUAGAUGCCCUCCAGUAAUUUCUCAUUCCCAUGAAAGCGAAUAUCAUUGUAAAAACAAGAGAUACAGUUCAUGCAGUUUACUGAGAAAAAAAGGUCGUUUUCUUUUUAUUUUAGACCUGCUGGCAAUGACAUUUCAUUGGCAUGGGUAAAAAUGACAUUUCCUUGACAGGGGUAUAUUUACUGUGGAGGCUAAUUGCAAUCUAUCACACAAGAUUUUUAUUUAUUUAUUUAUUUUUACCAUUUGAGCUUAUCUUCAGUGCUUUUAACAGGUCAAUACCUGCUUUCUGUCCUCAUUUCUGAAGGCAGGGUUUCCGUCCCUAUUGCAAUGGUGUCUCCUCAAUAGCACUGUAUGAACUGGGUUAAUGUGUCACUGCUUCCCUGCUAUAAGAAAUGGCUACAUGAGAUGAAAUAAUGGUGGGUGGAUGUCUUGCCUCCUUACAUAGAAGUGGCUUCUUGGGGUCUCUAAGAAUCCUGGAAGUCAUUUUUUCAGUACCUGAAUGCAUUUACUGGAGUUAAGUAUGGGAAUCCUCUGUCUAGCUUUUCUCUGGAAGGGGGGGGGGGGGGGGGGGGCAGAGAUUUAGAAAAGCUUCUUGGCUCAGGGGCUGGACUGGAUGCCCAUCUCUUGACUUAUUACUGAAACAAGGUUCAGCUCUGUACAGUCUGCCUCCCUCACUGGGUCUGCUUUGAAAAAAAACCCAGAACUCAUCUGUGUGGGCAAGAGGUUUCAUAUUUCUUUAUCAAACAAUUUUAAUUUGAAGUCCUUAUUUUUUAAAAAUGAGCAGUUGCUGAAACUCAUCUUUUUCUGAUCAGAGAAGGAGGGUGAGGUAACUCAAAAAACUCCUUAUGAAUUUCUCAUAAACAAGCUUGAGAAAAAAAUAUGGUUUUGUUGUUUUUUUUUGAUUUUUUUUUUUUUUUAAGCAAGCAGGAUUCACUGAUGCAAGCUCUUUAAGCAUCCUUAUAUUUUAAAAAUACAGUGUGCUGCCAGAAGAAAUAAUAAAAAGCAAAGUGAAUCUCUGCCUCCA